rnacentral:rRNA from 1 species
CAGUAGCCGCGGGAAUACGAGGGGGGCGAGCGUUGUUCGGAAUUAUUGGGCGUAAAGGGUGCGUAGGCGGUUUGACAAGUCUUGUGUGAAAUCUUCGGGCUCAACUCGAAGUCUGCAUGAGAAACUGUCGGGCUUGAGUGUGGGAGAGGUGAGUGGAAUUCCCGGUGUAGCGGUGAAAUGCGUAGAUAUCGGGAGGGACACCUGUGGCGAAAGCGGCUCACUGGACCACAACUGACGCUGAGGCACGAAAGCUAGGGGAGCAAACAGGAUUAGAGACCCGAGUAGUCCCUGUCUCUUAUAC